UACGGAGGGUGCAAGCGUUGCUCGGAAUUAUUGGGCGUAAAGGGUAGGUAGGUGGUCUUAUUUGUCUGGGGUGAAAGCCUCGAGCUUAACUCGAGAAGUGCCCCAGAAACGGUGAGACUAGAGUCCUGGAGAGGGUCGUGGAAUUCCCGGUGUAGCGGUGAAAUGCGUAGAGAUCGGGAGGAACACCAGAGGCGAAGGCGGCGACCUGGACAGGCACUGACACUCAACUACGAAAGCGUGGGGAGCAAACAGG
rnacentral:rRNA from 1 species